rnacentral:rRNA from 1 species
AGGCGGCGCGGAAAGUCCGGCGUGAAAGGCAGGGGCUCAACCUCUGGACUGCGUUGGAUACUUCCGUGCUUGAGGACUGGAGGGGAGACUGGAAUUCACGGUGUAGCAGUGAAAUGCGUAGAUAUCGUGAGGAAGACCGGUGGCGAAGGCGAGUCUCUGGACAGAUCCUGACGCUGAGGCACGAAGGCUGGGGGAGCGAACAGGAUUAGAUACCCUGGUAGUCCCAGCAGUAAACGAUGUGAGCUUGAUGUGGGGGGAUUCGACCCCUUCCGUGUCGAAGCUAACGCGAUAAGCUCACCGCCUGAGGAGUACGGCCGCAAGGCUAAAACUCAAAGAAAUUGACGGGGACCCGCACAAGCGGUGGAGUAUGUGGCUUAAUUCGAUGCAACGCGAAGAACCUUACCUGGCCUUGACAUGCAUUGUGUCGUCGGUGAAAGCCGGCUAGUCCUGGAAACAGGACGCUUUGCACAGGUGCUGCAUGGCUGUCGUCAGCUCGUGUCGUGAGAUGUUGGGUUAAGUCCCGCAACGAGCGCAACCCUUGUGGUCAGUUACUAACCGGCUUAGCCGGAGGACUCUGGCCAGACUGCCCUGUCAAACGGGGAGGAAGGUGGGGACGACGUCAAGUCAGUAUGGCCCUUAUGGCCAGGGCUGCACACGUACUACAAUGCCCGGUACAAUGUGAACCGAAACCGCGAGGUGGAGGAAAUCGCUCUUGAAAACCGGGCCCAGUUCGGAUUGGAGUCUGCAACUCGACUCCAUGAAGUCGGAAUCGCUAG